rnacentral:rRNA from 1 species
AGAACGAACGCUGGCGGCAUGCCUAAUACAUGCAAGUCGAACGAACUCUUCGGAGUUAGUGGCGCACGGGUGCGUAACGCGUGGGAAUCUGCCCCUUGGUUCGGAAUAACAGUUGGAAACGACUGCUAAUACCGGAUGAUGACGAAAGUCCAAAGAUUUAUCGCCAAGGGAUGAGCCCGCGUAGGAUUAGCUAGUUGGUGAGGUAAAGGCUCACCAAGGCAACGAUCCUUAGCUGGUCUGAGAGGAUGAUCAGCCACACUGGGACUGAGACACGGCCCAGACUCCUACGGGAGGCAGCAGUAGGGAAUAGUUGGACAAU